rnacentral:rRNA from 1 species
UACGGAGGUUGCAAGCGUUAUCCGGAUUUAUUGGGUUUAAAGGGUGCGUAGGCGGGAAAAUAAGUCAGUGGUGAAAACCUGCAGCUUAACUGUAGAACUGCCAUUGAUACUGUUUUUCUUGAGUAUAGUUGAGGUGGGCGGAAUGUGUAAUGUAGCGGUGAAAUGCUUAGAUAUUACACAGAACACCAAUUGCGUAGGCAGCUCACUAAACUAAAACUGACGCUGAGGCACGAAAGCGUGGGGAGCAAACAGG